CCUACGGGAGGCAGCAGUAGGGAAUCUUCCGCAAUGGACGAAAGUCUGACGGAGCAACGCCGCGUGAACGAUGAAGGCCUUCGGGUCGUAAAGUUCUGUUGUUAGGGAAGAACAAGUGCUAGUUGAAUAAGCUGGCACCUUGACGGUACCUAACCAGAAAGCCACGGCUAACUACGUGCCAGCAGCCGCGGUAAUACGUAGGUGGCAAGCGUUGUCCGGAAUUAUUGGGCGUAAAGCGCGCGCAGGCGGUUUCUUAAGUCUGAUGUGAAAGCCCCCGGCUCAACCGGGGAGGGUCAUUGGAAACUGGGAAACUUGAGUGCAGAAGAGGAAAGUGGAAUUCCAAGUGUAGCGGUGAAAUGCGUAGAGAUUUGGAGGAACACCAGUGGCGAAGGCGACUUUCUGGUCUGUAACUGACGCUGAGGCGCGAAAGCGUGGGGAGCAAACAGGAUUAGAUACCCUGGUAGUCCACGCUGUAAACGAUGAGUGCUAAGUGUUAGAGGGUUUCCGCCCUUUAGUGCUGAAGUUAACGCAUUAAGCACUCCGCCUGGGGGAGGUACGGUCGCAGACUAGAACGUACGAAGAAGUUAGUACGGCGUGAGACGUGCCGAACGGACGACGACGAGGGAGGUUAGG
rnacentral:rRNA from 1 species